UCUUCCGUAUAUUUUGUGCACUAAGAGAGUGACACAGGGACCGUGCGUGGCUGUGGAUGGGAGUCCCCUCGUGGUGAAGAUCUGCCCAGACAAGUGGGCACUGGCUGGGCUUUUCCUGCCCCAAAAUCAGUGCUCUAAUACCACCAACCAAUAUGUAGCAUACGUCUCCAUACCUCGAAUCAGGGCUGGAAUAGAUGAACAUACCGGAUCUUCAACGGAGUGUACCUCAUUCAAGACUUAAUAAUUUGAAGCUUUUUCAGGACUGGAAUGUCUGGCCUUUCUAGGAAUAGGAAAAUAAUUUAGGCGAAACCUGUUCUGGAUUCUAGACAAGUUUGGUUAAGUUGAUUCUUAUUUCAUGAUUGAAAAAGUUCAAUUACAUAAAGUCAGGCUGGGUACAUUUUUCUUUCUGGAUGGAAAAUGUUCAAUUCGAUGCAAUUUAGGUUAGGUAGAUCCCUUUCUCAGGUCUGAAAUGGUCCAAUUGGAUACCAGUUAGUUUAGACAGAUCUCUGUUUCAGUAACUGAAAGCGUUGCAUCGGAAAUAAGCUAAGAAUAUGCCUAUUCCAGAUCCUUCUCAUGUUCCUGUUUCAUCCAUAAGCUUUCUUUUGUGGAUUUUACUUCUGUAGGAUUAUCAGCAAGUUUGAAAAUGUGAUUUUGGUGUUGGAAAGAAAUCUCCUCUAAAGCACAGUAAAGCUGUUAAAUCCAUUUAAUGGAAUAUGUUGUGUGCUUUGAGUUUUGUUUUAUUGAUAAUUUCACCUUUGUAUAUUGAUUUUUGUUUUAUCUUGCGGUACUUUUGUUGUGAAUGCAAUAAAUGAAUUGAGCACU